rnacentral:lncRNA from 1 species
UCUGAAAAUCUAUUAUGUAGAUAUUGGUUUUGAAAACUUAUGUUUAUAUUAAGUUUGAUUGUUGGAAAUUGUGGAUGUGAUUUUGGAGACCGCGUGACUAUUGUCUAGGAUUCCCGCCAAUAGGGUGGAAACGUUGGCCCUGUCGACUUGUAUGAGGAACUAGUUCCGGCACUAUGGGGUGUUUUGGCUCUGCGGAGCAUGCUCUGAGGAGCAGAGAUUGGGCACCCUGGGGUGCAGCACUGCGGUUAGGGCUGGAAGUGGGCUCGGGCCGGCCCGAAGCCCAUCGGGUCGGGCCGCCUGCGGGCCGGGCUAUGGGCCCGGCUCUCUGCCUUUCGGGCCGGGCUCGGGCUUAAUCAUUCAACCCAUUUCUAUUUCGGGCCGGGCUCGGGUAUUUCAUUGGCCCGGCCCGGGCCCGUCCAAGCCCGAGCCUAUUUCCAGCCCGACGCGGGCCAGUCUGCCGAAUCACGAAUGCCUUAGCCCGAAUCACGAAUGCCUUAACCCGAUUGCCGAAUGC